rnacentral:misc_RNA from 1 species
CCAAUAGCGUAUAUUAAAGUUGUUGCAGUUAAAAAGCUCGUAGUUGAAUUUCGGGAUUGACGUGACGGUCAUGCCUUAAGGGGUAUGAACUGUUGCUGUUGAUUUCUCACCUUCUGGAGAAACUUGAUGUCCUUUAUUGGGUGUCUUGCGGAUCCAGGACCUUUACCUUGAAAAAAUUAGAGUGUUUAAAGCAGGCAUUUUUGCUCGAAUACAUUAGCAUGGAAUAAUAGAAUAGGACGGCAUGGUUCUAUUUUGUUGGUUUCUAGGAUCACCGUAAUGAUUAAUAGGGAUAGUUGGGGGCAUUAGUAUUCAAUUGUCAGAGGUGAAAUUCUUGGAUUUAUUGAAGACUAACUACUGCGAAAGCAUUUGCCAAGGAUGUUUUCAUUAAUCAAGAACGAAAGUUAGGGGAUCGAAGACGAUCAGAUACCGUCGUAGUCUUGACCAUAAACUAUGCCGACUAGGAAUCAGACGAUGUUAAUUUUUUAAUGACUCGUUUGGCACCUUACG